rnacentral:misc_RNA from 1 species
GAUGAAGAACGUAGCGAAAUGCGAUAAGUAAUGUGAAUUGCAGAAUUCAGUGAAUCAUCGAGUCUUUGAACGCACAUUGCGCCCCCUGGUAUUCCGGGGGGCAUGCCUGUCCGAGCGUCAUUGCUGCCCUCAAGCACGGCUUGUGUGUUGGGCCCCCGUCCCCGGUUUCCCCCGGGGACGGGCCCGAAAGGCAGCGGCGGCACCGCGUCCGGUCCUCGAGCGUAUGGGGCUUUGUCACCCGCUCUGUAGGCCCGGCCGGCGCCAGCCGACACCCAACUUUAUUUCUAAGGUUGACCUCGGAUCAGGUAGGGAUACCCGCUGAACUUAAGCAUAGCAAUAAGCGGAGGA